GAACCUGCUGCCGGAUCAUUAUCGAU
rnacentral:rRNA from 1 species